GCACCGGUAGUGUCCGGGGCACGCUGCCUUCGAAUGAUAGUCCCAGUCGACAUGUUCGGCGGAGUCGGGGUUCGACUCCCCGCUGGUGCA